ACAUUGAUUAUGCAACACUAACUGCGUAGAUGUCCGACUGAUUCCGGUAGAGAUAAUUCUGGACUAGUUCAAAGUUCGCCGCCAUAAAAAUAUGCCUGUGAAUUAUGAGUGAAACAAUUAGAGGGAUAAUCACCGACUGUGUUGCGGGGAUAAGCAUACUAUUUGUAUUGGGAGCUGCAUUCUUUAUUUACGACUUGGGACUGCAACAUGUUUACCAAGAAUUACAUGAACUUCGUGCAGAGUUAUCUUCCGUUAAACAGAGAAAUCAGGAUUUAGAAAUGAAAAUGAGAUUUAUAGAAGAUGGUGUUCAAGAACAAACGUUUUCACGUCAAAAGGACGAUGAAUUCGAUCAACCUGAAAUUCCUUCUGCUGAAUUUGAGUUGUCAAGCGAAAUGCAGGCAUUGAAUGAACCUGAUACAUGUACAACAACUGUCUAUGCAAGAGGCUUGUUUGAUGAUGUUUGUAUUUGGGACAUUCCGCAGAUUAAAAGACCAAAGACCAGAAGAAAAAGUGGUGUCAAAUACAAACGAAAAUUAAAUUUAAAAAGAACCUCGUCCUCUAGCUACAGAAUUAAGAGAAAAUCACCUCGACAAAUUUGCAAAACAGAACGUCAGCUAAAGCAAAGACAGUUUGCUACAAGGGGAAAAGGAUUCUCAAAAUCUGGAAGGAAGGGUAAAGCAACCUCAAAACCAAGAGGAAAGCACAAAGCAACCACAAAACCUGCAACACUAGUGAAAUCAACCUCUCGAUCAAAGAUUUACGCAACUUCAAAAAGAGACACAAAGGUUAAAGCAACUUCUAGACAAGCCUCAAAAGUAAAAGCAUCUCCAAAACAAACCGCCCAAUCUAAACCAGCUUCAAAAACUAGAGGAACGGUCAAAUCCACAGGUUCUAAUGCUAGAACCCAAUCCAAAAUGUCUGCCAAGCCUGUGAAAGUCAACAAAGCUGCAGCACCCAAAAUGAGGAACACACGAACAGCCUCCCAGUCUGUGAGAAAACCCCCGGCACCAAGGAGAGCUACUGUUUCACACAGAAGAAGAGGCUGAGAGACUAUCAGUUUUGCUCAAAUCUCUAAUUAGUUCUAUGUGCUCUCAUCUCCAUGUUUUGAUACUGACAAUUAUGGUAUUAAAAUAUUCUAACCAUUCAAGUAAGAUAGAGAGCAGAUACAUGAAAAUGUUUUUAGAUUUUCUAAAGUAAUAAACAAACUGACAAG
rnacentral:sRNA from 1 species